GGCACGAUGGCGAAGUGGUAACGCAAUCGUCUGCAAAACGAUUAUGCGGGGGUUCGAUUCCCCCUCGUGCCU
rnacentral:tRNA from 1 species